rnacentral:hammerhead_ribozyme from 1 species
AGGCGAAACGGGGGGAUUCGUCCCCCGUCUAGGAAGGAUUGGUCACCUUCCUACUGAUGAGCCAGACCAAA